AUGGACUGGACCUGGAGGAUCCUCUUCUUGGUGGCAGCAGCCACAGGAGCCCACUCCCAGGUGCAGCUGGUGCAGUCUGGGGCUGAGGUGAAGAAGCCUGGGGCCUCAGUGAAGGUCUCCUGCAAGGCUUCUGGAUACACCUUCACCGGCUACUAUAUGCACUGGGUGCGACAGGCCCCUGGACAAGGGCUUGAGUGGAUGGGAUGGAUCAACCCUAACAGUGGUGGCACAAACUAUGCACAGAAGUUUCAGGGCUGGGUCACCAUGACCAGGGACACGUCCAUCAGCACAGCCUACAUGGAGCUGAGCAGGCUGAGAUCUGACGACACGGCCGUGUAUUACUGUGCGAGAGA